rnacentral:rRNA from 1 species
UGGGGAAUAUUGGGCAAUGGGGGAAACCCUGACCCAGCGACGCCGCGUGAGGGAAGAAGGCCUUAGGGUCGUAAGCCUCUGUUGUGUGGGAAGAGGAGCGUGACAGUACCACACGAGGAAGUCCCGGCUAACUACGUGCCAGCAGCCGCGGUAAUACGUAGGGGACGAGCGUUGUCCGGAUUUACUGGGCGUAAAGGGCGCGUAGGCGGUCAUUUAAGUCAGCUGUGAAAUGGUGCGGCUUAACCGCAUCAUGCGGUUGAAACUGGAUGACUGGAGUGCUGGAGAGGCAAGUGGAAUUCCCAGUGUAGCGGUGAAAUGCGUAGAUAUUGGGAAGAACACCGGUGGCGAAGGCGACUUGCUGGCCAGCAACUGACGCUGAGGCGCGAAAGCCAGGGGAGCAAACGG